rnacentral:rRNA from 1 species
GACGAACGCUGGCGGCGCGCCUAACACAUGCAAGUCGAACGAGCGAGAGAGAGCUUGCUUUCUCGAGCGAGUGGCGAACGGGUGAGUAACGCGUGAGGAACCUGCCUCAAAGAGGGGGACAACAGUUGGAAACGACUGCUAAUACCGCAUAAGCCCACGGGUCGGCAUCGACCAGAGGGAAAAGGAGCAAUCCGCUUUGAGAUGGCCUCGCGUCCGAUUAGCUAGUUGGUGAGGUAAUGGCCCACCAAGGCGACGAUCGGUAGCCGGACUGAGAGGUUGAACGGCCACAUUGGGACUGAGACACGGCCCAGACUCCUACGGGAGGCAGCAGUGGGGAAUAUUGCACAAUGGGGGAAACCCUGAUGCAGCGACGCCGCGUGGAGGAAGAAGGUCUUCGGAUUGUAAACUCCUGUUGUUGGGUAAGAUAAUGACGGUACCCAACAAGGAAGUGACGGCUAACUACGUG